UGCGCAGGCGGAAUAUUAAGUCAGUGGUGAAAUCCUACAGCUCAACUGUAGAACUGCCAUUGAUACUGAUAUUCUUGAGUAUAGUUGUAGUGGGCGGAAUAUGUCAUGUAGCGGUGAAAUGCUUAGAUAUGACAUAGAACACCGAUCGCGAAGGCAGCUCACUAAACUAUAACUGACGCUCAGGCACGAAAGCGUGGGGAGCAAACAGGAUUAGAUACCCUGGUAGUC
rnacentral:rRNA from 1 species